ACGGAGGGUGCAAGCGUUAAUCGGAAUUACUGGGCGUAAAGCGCACGUAGGCUGUAGUGUAAGUCAGGGGUGAAAUCCCACGGCUCAACCGUGGAACUGCCUUUGAUACUGCACAACUUGAAUCCGGGAGAGGGUGGCGGAAUUCCAGGUGGAGGACUGAAAUCCGGAGAUAUCUGGAGGAACAUCAGAGGCGAAGGCGGCCACCUGGACCGGUAUUCACGCUGAGUUGCUAAAGCGUGUGUCGCAAACAG
rnacentral:rRNA from 1 species